GCCAAUGUGGUGUAGUGGUUAGACUACCGGACUAGGGCUUGGGAGAUUGGGGUUCAAAUCCCCACUUGGACA